rnacentral:rRNA from 1 species
UACGAAGGGGGCUAGCGUUGCUCGGAAUUACUGGGUGUAAAGCGCACGUAGGCGGCUUGUUAAGUCGGGGGUGAAAUCCUGGAGCUCAACUCCAGAACUGCCUUCGAUACUGGCGAUCUUGAGUCUGGGAGAGGUGAGUGGAACUCCGAGUGUAGAGGUGAAAUUCGUAGAUAUUCGGAAGAACACCAGUGGCGAAGGCGGCUCACUGGCCCGGUACUAGACGCUGAGGCACGAAAGCGUGGGUAGCAAACAGG